rnacentral:rRNA from 1 species
GCAUGGAGAGAGGCGAGAAAAGCCAUGUGUAUUUGUAAGGUGCCCGUACCGCAAACCGACACAGGUAGGUAGGAAGAGGAUUCUAAGGCCAACGGGAGAAGGGUUGUUAAGGAACUCGGCAAGUUGACCCCGUAACUUCGGGAGAAGGGGUGCUCACGAGAGUGAGCCGCAGAGAAUAGGCCCAAGCAACUGUUUAGCAAAAACACAGGUCUGUGCUAAAUCGAAAGAUGACGUAUACGGGCUGACACCUGCCCGGUGCUGGAAGGUUAAGGGGAGUUGUGCAAGCAGCGAACUGAAGCCCCAGUAAACGGCGGCCGUAACUAUAACGGUCCUAAGGUAGCGAAAUUCCUUGUCAGGUAAGUUCUGACCCGCACGAAUGGUGUAAUGAUUUGGGCACUGUCUCAACAGCCCGCCCGGCGAAAUUGUAGUACCGGUGAAGAUGCCGGUUACCCGCGACAAGACGGAAAGACCCCAUGGAGCUUUACUGUAGCCUAAUAUUGGGUCUUGGUAUUACAUGUACAGGAUAGGUGGGAGACUAGGAAACCCGGGCGUCAGCUCGGGCGGAGUCACCCUUGGGAUACCACCCUUGUGAUACUAGGAUUCUAACCUGCGGCCCUGAAUCGGGUCGGGGGACAUUGUUAGGUGGGCAGUUUGACUGGGGCGGUCGCCUCCUAAAGCGUAGCGGAGGCGUUCAAAGGUUGGCUCAGCAUGGACGGAAACCAUGCUAUUGAGUGCAAACGCAUAAGCCAGCCUAACUGCGAGACCGACGGGUCGAGCAGUAACGAAAGUUGGAGUUAGUGAUCCGGUGGUAUGUGAGUGGAAAUGCCAUCGCUCAACGGAUAAAAGUUACCCUGGGGAUAACAGGCUGAUCUCCCCCAAGAGUCCACAUCGACGGGGAGGUUUGGCACCUCGAUGUCGGCUCAUCGCAUCCUGGGGCUGUAUUCGGUCCCAAGGGUUUGGCUGUUCGCCAAUUAAAGCGGUACGCGAGCUGGGUUCAGAACGUCGUGAGACAGUUCGGUCCCUAUCUGUCGUGGGCGCAGGAUAUUUGAUGGGAUCUGUCCCUAGUACGAGAGGACCGGGAUGGACGCACCUCUGGUGCACCAGUUGUCACGCCAGUGGCACAGCUGGGCAGCUAUGUGCGGAUCGGAUAAACGCUGAAAGCAUCUAAGCGUGAAGCCGGCCCAAAGAUAAGAUAUCCCACUGAGUUAAUCAGGUAAGACCCCUUGAAGACUACAAGGUUGAUAGGCACAAAGUGUAAGCAUGGUGACAUGUUGAGCUAGCGUGUACUAAUAGGUCGAGGGCUUGACCAC